GUCUAGGGGUACGUCAUCACCCAGCGCCUAAGGAUCGACCUGCGUCUGGUUCCCUAAGGGAACAUCAUGAUCAUGACCUGACCUAUGUGGACAGCUGCUAGAGCGAAGGAUCCGACAGCAAGAAGUUUGCAACAACUAAUCAUUCCGGUCCCUCACCUUGCCUUUAAACAAGCUUUGCUGAAAGCCUUUGGCGAGUUCGGGACUUUUCUGGGUCAUGAGCCACCUGCCUCCUUGCAUGGCCCUGCAAUAAACAUUCCUCUGCUCCAAA